AUUGAACGCUGGCGGCAGGCCUAACACAUGCAAGUCGAGCGAGCGGCGGACGGGUGAGUAAUGUUUGGGAAACUGCCUGAUGGAGGGGGAUAACUACUGGAAACGGUAGCUAAUACCGCAUACCAUCAGUCUCGCCCAGAGGGGUUUAGUUCGUAGGUGGGGUAACGGCCCACCUAGGCAACGAUCCCUAGCUGGUCUUAGAGGAUGACCCGCCACACUGGAACUGAGACACGGUCCAGACUCCUGCGGGAGGCAGCAGUGGGAAAUAUUGCACAAUGGGCGCAAGCCUGAUGCAGCCAUGCCGCGUGUGUGAAGAAGGCCUUCGGGUUGUAAAGCACUUUCAGCUGGGAGGCGUUACCCACAGAAGAAGCACCGGCUAACUCCGUGCCAGCAGCCGCGGUAAUAC
rnacentral:rRNA from 1 species